rnacentral:lncRNA from 1 species
UUCGGGUUGAAUACAAAGGAUAGUGGAUUAAAAUUCUCAAGUGGGAUCUUGGGGAGUGGACGUAGGUGCAAGGUUAGCACCGAACCACUAUAAAUCCUUGUGUUUGUGGUGUGCUUUAUCGCUUUAUCUUAUUUCUUUAUUAUAUCCUUGCAAUACUGCUUUAGUUAACUAAUAUUGAUUUAAAGCCAUUGUUUUGUUCUUCAUAAGUUAUCUGUUGGGCUUAAAAUUUUUAGAAACCCAAUUCACCCCCCCUUUUGGGUUGCAUAGCUGGGCAACAAAUGGCCAUCAAAGUUGUAAUAGAAAUGCUUUUCCUUCUCCAUAGCUUUCUUCGAAGUGUCCUUCUUAAAUUUGCUCUCCUUCUUCAGCUUUUUUGCAGGUUUAUUCUUUUUCUUUCCUUGAGAUUUUCUCUUAAAAGGUGCCCGCUUAACAACAAGAACAGAACUCCUUGAACUUUUCAAGGUACCCCAGUAGUGACCAAUAUA